rnacentral:rRNA from 1 species
UACGGAGGGGGCUAGCGUUGUUCGGAAUUACUGGGCGUAAAGCGCGCGUAGGCGGACCUGCAAGUCGGGGGUGAAAGCCCGAGGCUCAACCUCGGAACUGCCUUCGAUACUGCGGGUCUCGAGUCCGGGAGAGGAUGGUGGAAUUCCCAGUGUAGAGGUGAAAUUCGUAGAUAUUGGGAAGAACACCGAUGGCGAAGGCAGCCAUCUGGACCGACACUGACGCUGAGGCGCGAAAGCGUGGGGAGCAAACAGG